rnacentral:lncRNA from 1 species
AGGGUAAAAUCUGUUUAACGAGUGUUUUUAUAGUAAAAUAUGAUGAUUAAACACCUCAGUUUUAUAAAACUGAGGUUUUUUUAUCUUCUCCUUUUAAAUAUCACCUCGGUGAUGAUGAAAACCUAGGUGAAUAAUUCUUCUUUUUUAAAUUACAUUGUUUACACACAAUAUUAAAAUAAAUUGUUUAAAACAAAUCUUUGCUCUUAUUACUUAAUAUCUUCGUUGAUAUCUUUGAUCUUAUGUUCUAACCCUUUGGUUAAAUAGAAAAUCGAAGGGUUAGAACAUUUUGUUUACACUUAUAAACAAAUAAAAUCAUAAACUGCAUUAGAGUGGAAGCAAAGCUUGUACUGAGUUGUUUUUUCACUUCGGUGUUAUGAAGAACUGAGAGAAUAUAUGGUUUUUUAUUUUCUUUAAUAAUAAAAAGUAGUGCGUCAUGACUUUAUACCUCGGUUUUCUAUUUUUUGAGGUGAAAGCUUCGUCAUGAAAAGUGUUAUUUGUCGUAGUGCUUUCAAAACAUUCAUAUGCCUUCCUUCCUCACGUGUCUUGACUAGAAUUUCAUCAACGUAUACUUCAAGGGUUCUUCCUAUCUGUGAUGAGAACACCAUAUCCAUUAACCUAUGAUACGUAGCCCAAUAUUUUUGAGCCCAAAUGACAUGACUUCAUCGUAAUAAUUAUUUCUGUCAGCCAUGAAUAUUAUUUUGGAUGCAUCAGCCGAGCACAUCUGCAUCUGAUUAUAACCCGAGUAAGCGUCCAUGAAGCUGAGUAGAUGGAAACCUGAAGCGACAUCAAUCAAUCUAUCAAUAUGUGGUAACAGAUAAGGAUCCUUCCGACAAGCUUUGUUGAGAUCAGUGAAAUCCACACACAUACGCCCGUUUCCUGAUUUCUUUUUUAACAUGAACACAUUGAAUAGCCAAGUGGAAUAUUUUAUCUUCUGCAUGAAUUCAGCCUUUAGCAACUUACCAACCUCUUAUGUGAUCGGUUUCCUUUUUUCUUCUCCAUUUUUUUGCUUUCUCUGCAUCAUAGCUUUUGAUGUUGGGUCUAAUGAAAGUUGAUGACAUACAACACUUGGAUUAAUCCCGGGAAUGUAUGACAGUUUCCAUGCAAACAAGUCGAAAUUGUCCUUUAGCACCCUGAUGAUUUCUUUCUCCUCUUCCUGGGAUAGCCCCGAUCCUAUCUGCAUCACCUAGAACUCCUCAGCUCCAACUUGUACCUUUUUAACUCUACGAUUGGGGUCAAGUUGUCGCAUGUGGGAUCUCCUCUAGGAUCAAGGUCCACCGUGUUUACUUUCAAGGAAUCUUCCAACAUAGGCGGCUCCUGUUGGAUCUUCUUUUUUAACUUCAAGCUAUCUUUAUUGCAUUUCCUAGCUAAACCCUGGUCACCUUUGGCUAUUCCUACCUGUUUGCCUUUUGAGGGAUAUUUCAUGGUUAGGUCAGGAGUGGAAAACAAAGCUUCCAUAACAUUGAACGUCGUCCUCCCGAUGAUAAUAUUGUAGGGUGAUAAUGCAUUCACUAUUAGGUAUCUUACUCUAAUGCCUUUUGAGUUGCUUCCAUUUCCAAAUAUGGUCAUGAUAGGUAAGUGUCUUAAUACCUGACCUUGUUCCCCGAAGAAACCGACUAGGGUGCCCUUGAAAGGUAACAACUUGGAUGUAUCCAUGAUCAUACCUUUGAGAGCAUCCCAGUAUAAGAUGUAGGCUGAACUACCUGGAUCAAUCAGUACCCUCGUCACACUCAAAUCUUGAAUAUGCACCUUUAUGAACAUCAGAUUGUUCACGUCCGCCAUAACUUCUUCUGAGUCUUGUUUCAACAAACCAAUGAUAGUGGGUUUCCUUCCUUUUUGGAUAAUGGGUUAUGCGAUACAUGCAUUAGUGAUUGGGCAUAUCUUUCCCUAGCUGAGCAUGUUUCUCCUCCACCAGUAAAGCCUCCCGAAAUGGUAUUAAGCAUGUGUCGAGCCACCCGAGUCUCACUUAAUUCCUCCAUGUUCUUUCCAUUUUUGGUAGGGAUAUUUUUUGAUCUGGCUCUCUCCUAGUCUGGUCCCUCUUUCCUGCUGUUCCUUCUGCCUCAUUUACAUAUGGUAAUAACCGACCUCUCUAGAUUAGAGUCUCAAUUUCUCUUCUUAAGUGGUGACAUUCCUCAUUAUGAUGGCCUUUCAUGGGAUGAUAGGAACAGCAUGCUCCUGUGUCAUUUCCUAACACCAUAUUAACCCUCUUACGACGUGCUGGCUCGGGAAUCAAUUUGAGAUGAUACACUUCCCUCAAGAUGUUGGCAUGCUUUGCAUUGAGAGGUGUUAAACUCUUGGAUAAGUUAUCAUAGAGUCUCCUAUAAGGUCUCAUCAUUUACCUAUCACUUGGCUCGUGUUUGUGGUGCUCUCUUCUGGACCUGGAUCAUUCGUGUUUUAAUUAUGUUUUUUCUUUAGCAUCCUGAGACCUCUUCCAUGCUAAUGGCCGGCUUAUGUGCCAAUGACUUGUUGAAGUGACUAGCUUUCAGUCAUUUUUGAAAAGCUCCCACAAGUAUCUCCUGAUUUGGAUGGGAGACUUUUAUGGUUUUUUCAAUGAAUCUCUCCAUGUCGGACAUUGAACGAACUGGUGAUAGUAACCUUUCUAUGUUUGCUAGAGGAGAAAUGUUGUACCAUUUUUUUAGUCAAGUAUUGGUAGCUGGUAACUGAUAGUCUAGACAAACUUAUGUACCAACGUAGCUCCAUAUCUUUGAAUGUUCCCGCCGUGAGUUUUCAUUUCAAGGAGUCAGAAGCCCCGACUAUUGACAUGUCAUUGUUGAUUGAUAUUAUGUGUUUAUUAUCACUUUUUCCAUCAAAGGAUGGAAAAUAUGGUGGUUUGAAAUUAUUUGGUACUUGAUCACCCCAAAUCAUUUCUGGAAGAGGUUGAGGAUCAAUGAGAUCUUCCUCGUCCUCCCCUCCCUCGUACCUUGUGACUAUUGUAAAGUAUGGACACUUUCUUGUAGAGACACAUUCUGCCGAUGCAGGUUCUCCAUAAUUGCUAAGAGAUGUGGCAUGUUUGGGGGAUGGUGAUGUUCACUCCUGUUAGGAGAUGCUCCAGACAUAGCGUUGACGAUGAUAAAAUUUAUGUUUUUCUUGUGAGGCCUGGGAAAGUUUUACCGAGGCCCCACAAUGGGCGCCAAAUAAUCUUUCUAAAAACUAUUUGGAGAAAUCUCUCCGAAGCUAGUCAUGAGAGAUCACAAUCUUCCUAUUUGGUUAGGAGAGGUUUUAAUAGUUGUCCCUUCCUCAUGGAAGAAGUUCCCUUUUUUAUACUGCUUUUCUCAUUAAUGAUCCUUAAAGGUGUGCUUCUUCAUAUCCCUCAUUAAGGUGGCUCUUGAUAACAUCUGUCACUCUCUGUAAUUAUCAAAUAACAUAUUUUCCCUCAAUUCAUGUAACUCCCAUGCAUUCUUGGGGAUAUUUUGUAACUGUCCAUUGUGACUAUCCACAUGGCCUCCUAACACUGAGGUCGGGUCCGACUUGUUCUUAUGUCAGUGUUAAUACGAGACCGAUUCCGAUAUGCUUGCUUUGUAUCUAAGUGAACCCUAAUUGGGUUCCAACAUAUGCAAGGUUAUGGUUAUCCUGCCCACUUGCUUCUUCGUACUCAUUUUUUCAAAGCUUGACCUCUGGGAAUUUCAGGAUGUACAUGUAGAAUUUUCCUUUAGAGCAAUUGGACUAGGUAUAAUACUCGAGAUGCCAUUUUUGAUAAUGAUCACCAAGUAGCAUUUGAUAAAGUUUUUCAAGAUGGUUUAAGAGCUUCAAUAAGAGAUUUUUUCAAAAUUUUGAGUAUUUUGUCAAUGUUUAUGGUCAAAGAUUAGGGUAUUCUUUACCCUCUCUAAUUUAUUUAGGGACAACAAAGUUUAUUUUAUUUUAUCUUGAAUUGGGUCGAACAACUUUUUUCGCUUUUAUCUAAAGUGACAUCCUUUUCACCUUCUUGUUUUAAUCGUCUCCCUUUUCAGGUGUUAUGGGAUGGAGAAUUAACUAGAUUAUAUUAGUGUUCCUCCCUCUCACCCUUAAACUUUUAUUGUAUCCAUUGUCAGGUUUCAUAGGAUGGAGAAUUAAUAUCUCUCUCUCUCUGCCUCUCUCUCUCUCAUCGGAUGAAGAAUUAACAAAAUUUUAUCUCGUGUUCUCCCAUUCACCCUCGUGUCUUUAUUGUUCCCUUCGUCAUGUGCUCUAGAAUGAAGAAUUAACAAUAUUCAAUCACUUAUAUUUAGAGACACACAAAAUAGGUGUAUGACUGGUUUAUUGGCUAUGUCCCAUAUCUACAUUCGAGUAUUGAUUCUUGUAGUUUUGUUUUGUCAAAUUACGCUAACCUCUUAUUGAAUGAUCUUUUUGGUGUUUUUUUAUUAAAUAUUUUAAUUGGUUGAAGUUCACCUUAUUAAAGAUGAACAAGUGAGAUAUCAUUAAUUUGAAUAUGCUCAUUUGUAAUUUUGGACCUCCCUCUUAUUAAAUUAAAAUAAAAAAGAUAUUACAUAAUAUUUUUGUUCAUGUAGAGAUAGUUUGUAAAACAGGGAGACACUACUUCAACCUAUCUAAUUUGAAUGGUGUUAUUCUCGUUUGAAUCCAAACCAAAAUUAGGUAGCUGCUGAGAAUAAUGCAACAAGGUUUUUAGUCCUGUAUGUUUUGCUUAACAUACUCCUUCACUGAUCAAGGAAUAAUGAUUUUCUUAAGAAAUAUUCUACCUUUUCAGCUCAAGUUAUGUGGUGUCAUUUCAUUUCACAAGAUCCAUGAUUUAUACACAGGGCUAGCUAAACAUUAACUCUUAUAUCAUGAAGUCAACCAAAUAUUUUCUACUUUGUUUAUUAGAUUGAUAUUGAGAGAAUUAUAUCUAACACCCUUAAAAUUAUAUCUGCUAGUUACGUUUUUUUUAAUAAUUAUAUCUUUUAAAAUCAAAUUUUUUAUAUUGAAUUUUUCAAAAAUCCGUUGUAAAAUCUUAGAUUUUGAAAACAAUUAUGCUUUUAUAUCAGUUUUUUUCUUAAAAACCUAACCCGAGUAGUGGUAUAGGGAAUUAACGUUUUAUACAUUGUCUAACCCUGUACGCUGGCACACUAAGGAUAUAAAAUUCUAAGUAGUGGUUAGUGAUUUAUUUCGUGGGGGAUCGGCUAUAUCGAUUUUGUUAAUUCAUCGUGGGGUUAUAGUGAUAAUAUCAUUCAUACAAAAUAUCAAACAUGAACAAUAGAAGAAUAAGGGAUUCUAAAACACAACCUGACCGCUUUAGUGAUUUUGUUUACUCGUUUAUUUACUUUUUGAACUAAAAUAUGAAACCCCUCCCUUUUACUAGUUUUUAUACAUUGCAAACAUUUUGUGUUGUUUGAAGGCAGUCCAUAUGGAUUCGAUCUUUUUACUACUACGACAUUAUCGGUACACUUAUCGAGAAGUCAUCAAUAAAUUUUAUAUAUAUUAUUUUUAUAUAUAUAUAUAUAUAUAUAUAUAUAUAUAUAUNUAUAUAUAUAUAUUUAUAAUAGUGUUGCUGCAUUUUGAAACUUUUCUAUUUAGAUUCUCUUUUCUCACUGUGUUAAUGUGUUGCUGUUGCGAUUUUUUUUUUAGCUCCAUAUACAUUGUGUAAUUGAAACGAUGAUGUAAAAUAUUUUGGUUGUUGUUGGCUUUUGUUACGUUGCGAUUUCGGAAGUUAAAAUUUAAUUUAACUUUCGAACAUCAUUUGGACGCAUAUAUUCGGCUACCCGACUUCUGAUUAAGUGAUUCCUACAUGAAUCCAUUUUAAAUUAACUUAACGUAGAGCUAAAUUCAUUACUAUCGAUUUUGGUACCUUAGGUCCUUUGGCUUUCUCUUGGGCCUUCUUACAAUGAGCCCCCUCUUUUACUUUUUUAUUGGGUUUGAAUUUUAAUUGCUUUAUUAUAUCCCCAUUCGAAAAAAUCUACCCCCAAAAUAAAGAUGAGACAUAUCUGACUUUCAAACAAUAUGCAAGAUUGUUCUAAAAUAAGAUGAAUUUGAAAAUUAUGUCCAUCCUAAGUGAUCAUGGAGAAGAAUUUGAAAAACCUCUUAUUUGAGAAGUAUUGUGAUAAACAUGGCAUUGAGCAUAACUUCUCCACUUCUAGAACUACACAACAAAAUGGAAAUGUGGAGCGUAAAGACCAUAUUUUAGAUGAUUUAGCGAGGACUAUGCUUUAUGAAGGAAAUCUACCAAAGUAUUUCUGGACCGAUGCCAUUAGCAUGGCAUGUUAUUUCUUGAAUAGGAUUCUAAUACUUCAUAUUUAGGCAAAACUCCAUAUGAACUACUUAAGGUUAGAAAACCUAAUGUUUCUCAUCUUCACGUUUUCGGAUGUAAAUGUUUCAUUUUGAACAAUGGAAAGGAUAAUCUCGGUAAGUUCGAUGCGAAAGCCGAUGAGGGUAUCUCCCUUCGAUACUCACAAUCUAGUAAAGCUUAUAGGGUUUAUAACAAAAGUCUACUUAUUAUUGAAGAGUCGGUUCAUGUUACUUUUGAUGAGUCUUUUCCGAAAAUGUUGGGAAAGGUGUUUCUUUUCAUGAUGUAUGUGUAUAUUCAUAUAUAUAUAUAUAUAUAUAUAUAUAUAUAUAUAUAUAUNUGUUAUCCUCUUGUCUAGCAGGCAAUUACUUCAGCGAAAAGGAUGAUUUAUUCGGAUGGACAUGAGAGCCCAACCACAUUGCAUUGCCAAAACCUAUGUUGUAUAUUGGAAAGACGUUGAUCUACUUGCUUUUAUGAUGUUACAAUCCUCUUGUUGCCUUUCUCCUCGGCCCACAGCGACAAAAUGUAGGUAGUUCAUCACGAAAGAAAGGACUCGCUGAGCCGAGAUCAUUAACUAAUAUUAAUAUAUAAUAAUAGAAUAGUAUACAAUAGAACUGUCUUUUCCAUAUAUUCUCUCUGGUUCCGUUGCUACUACACGCUUUACACAAUUCAUCGUCGUAUCAUAAAUAGAUAGAUAUCUUUUUAACAUAGGUCAUCGAAAGGAUCUCAAAGACCCACCAAAGCACGAAAGCCGGGAUUUUUCACAAAAUAGAUUCCUAUUCAAAGAGUGCAUAACCGCAUGGAUAAGCUCACACUAACCCGUCAAUUUAAGAUCCAAUUCCGUAUUUUCUUUGGGAAAUAUUGGCAAGGAAUUGGAAUGGAAUAAUAUUGAUUCAUACAGAAAAAAAGGUUUUCUAUUGAUAUUGAUUUAAACAGUAUACUUACAACAUAGGUAGAAAGAGAAAAAACCAACAAUUUCAUAUAGUACUUUUGAUCAAAAAAUCAAUCUUCUUUAUUCCGUACCUGACCUUUCGAUGAAUAAGAAAAUGGGUCAGAUCUUACAGGAUGAAACGAAGGAAUAAUGGCAAAAAAGAAAAGAAAUAAGUAAAAAGAAUAAUUUUCUCCUUUGAGAAUAAAAAAAAGUGUUCAAUUCAAACAUGAAAACGUGACUGACUUAAUUAGUUCUCGUGAUUUUGGGUUUGGGGGAAGAAGUGGAGAUUAUCGAACGAGGAUAAAGGAUCGAAUUACGUCGAAAGAAUUGAACGAGGAGCCGUAUGCGGUGAAAAUCUCAUGUACGGUUCUGUAGAGUGGCAGUAAGGAUUACUUAUCUGUCAACUUUUCCACUAUUAACCCUAAAAAACCAAACUCUGCGUUACGUAAAGUUGCCAGAGUACGCUUAACCUCUGGAUUUGAAAUCACUGCUUAUAUACCUGGUAUUGGCCAUAAUUUACAAGAACAUUCUGUAGUCUUAGUAAGAGGGGGAAGGGUUAAGGAUUUACCUGGUGGUGGAUAUCACAUUGUUCGAGGAACCCUGGAUGCUGUCGCAGUAAAGGAUCGUCAACAAGGGCGUCAAAAUAUGGAGCCAAAAAGCCAA